GCUCAGGUGGUGAAAUUGGUAGACACACACGUUUGAGGGGCGUGUGCCGCAUGGCGUAUGGGUUCGAGUCCCAUCUUGAGCACCA
rnacentral:tRNA from 1 species